GGAGAAUGACUAGUUCUGAAAACUAACGUUUCCCCCCGUCUCAUCAAUUAACCCUAUAAAUUCAGGUAUGUAAUGUGCAAAAUUGCAAUAUGACUCAAAUUAUUGAUGUAGCAUGGUUAAUUACAUAGUUCAUGAGUUUGAUGGUGUUCAAGGAAUAUGUGAAAAACUAGUUGGCAUUUUCCCCAUUGUCACUGAUACUCCACCUGAUGUGGUGGAAGUGUCGAACCAGAUCAGAACGCCUUCGAAGACCACCUUCAGGCGCGGACUUAAAAAACUUCCACAUCCUUUUACCAGGUGAGACUGAACAUGGACAGGGUACAUGAGAAAACGGAGAGCCACCGGAGUAGAAUCAAGGUGACCAAGAGGUUCGACAUCUGGGCAAAUGACUUAGCUUGAAAGGAAGACGAGACCCGGGAAAGCUUGGUGCUUCUAGCUGGGGUCACCAUCCGUUAUUAAGAACCACACAAACUCUUAGUUAACACAGUUGUCAAGCCAUACUGUGCUGUAUUUGCUCUGUUUAAUCAGCGUCAUUAAACAACCUCAACUGGCCUAUCAUCCGUGCCCUUACAAGCACCUGUGCUACGUAAAGUCCUCAACUACAUCCAGGACCUAGGAGUUAUGCCCAACACCCAGACAUGGAUCCACCUGAUGUCCUCCAUUACCAACCACACUCCAACUUUCCAUUACAUCAGCUACUGUUAUUGUCAUUAUCUGCUAAGAAAAAGCAAGCCAACUAUCAUACUGGGCUCAUUAUGUGAGAUACACAGAUUAGCUUAAAACACUAGCACUGCAAACACUCAGAACAAAGAGGGGAGCAGCGCCUGGAUUUUGCGGUCUCCUUCUUUGAGUCCACCUUCCAAGACGGACGACCUGUUGAAAACAAGUGACAGGCAGAACCUCCCAUCCACACAAUACCCACCUCCUCUCUGUUCCACACACCAGAAUUCAGCAUUUCAGUCUAUGAUUGCCAUGUGAGUGUACAAAAAAAUAAGUAAAUUGACACAUGUACCUAUAAAAUAUUGCCAGAUUGUUUUUUAUAGCUGUUUCAUAGGAUGUUCAUUAUUGUCAAUUGUAAGGUAUUCCUUGAUGGUAUUUGUUAAUUACAACAAUUAAUAAUGUUGAAGACAUACAAUAUAUAUGUUCAACCACAAGGGUGUACUAAUGAGGUAUGGUUUUAAAAAUCAUUUUGAGGACUAAUAUUAUUUCAGUGUAGAUAAGUGAUGGCCUGUUUAAAAUGAAAACAUGCCAGCCAGACCAGCCAGUGUAUUAUUCAAAUGUAUUUGCAUAUGAAUGGAGUGGAACUUAG
ensembl:lncRNA